GAAAGGUCAUAAAGAGAAGUUCAGGGGUUGUUGUUGUUAUUAUAUUUAUUUAUUUAGCCCACCGGACCUUCUUUCACCUGGAGAAACAAUGAAAGAAAAAUGCAUGCAGAUGCAAGAACGGAAAUGGAUCGGUUGGACGGCUUGGAUGAACUGAGUGCCGAUGUACUGCAAGGAAGAAACCAAGACAAGAAAGUGGACUUUUGCAAAGAGG